rnacentral:tRNA from 1 species
GGGUUAGUAGUCUAGUGGUAUGAUUCUCGCUUUGGGUGCGAGAGGUCCGGGGUUCGAUUCCCCGCUAACCCC